rnacentral:rRNA from 1 species
UACGAAGGGGGCUAGCGUUGCUCGGAAUCACUGGGCGUAAAGCGCACGUAGGCGGAUUGCUAAGUCAGGGGUGAAAUCCUGGAGCUCAACUCCAGAACUGCCUUUGAUACUGGCGACCUUGAGUCCGGGAGAGGUGAGUGGAACUGCGAGUGUAGAGGUGAAAUUCGUAGAUAUUCGCAAGAACACCAGUGGCGAAGGCGGCUCACUGGCCCGGUACUGACGCUGAGGAGCGAAAGCCAGGGGAGCAAAGCGGG